GAGCUUGCUCUGGUGAAUUAGUGGCGAACGGGUGAGUAACACGUGAGUAACCUGCCCUUGACUCUGGGAUAAGCGUUGGAAACGACGUCUAAUACCGGAUACGAGCUGGGACCGCAUGGUCACUAGCUGGAAAGAAUUUCGGUCAAGGAUGGACUCGCGGCCUAUCAGUUAGUUGGUGAGGUAACGGCUCACCAAGACGACGACGGGUAGCCGGCCUGAGAGGGUGACCGGCCACACUGGGACUGAGACACGGCCCAGACUCCUACGGGAGGCAGCAGUGGGGAAUAUUGCACAAUGGGCGCAAGCCUGAUGCAGCAACGCCGCGUGAGGGACGACGGCCUUCGGGUUGUAAACCUCUUUUAGCAGGGAAGAAGCGAAAGUGACGGUACCUGCAGAAAAAGCACCGGCUAACUACGUGCCAGCAGCCGCGGUAAUACGUAGGGUGCAAGCGUUGUCCGGAAUUAUUGGGCGUAAAGAGCUCGUAGGCGGUUUGUCGCGUCUGCUGUGAAAACCCGAGGCUCAACCUCGGGCCUGCAGUGGGUACGGGCAGACUAGAGUGCGGUAGGGGAGAUUGGAAUUCCUGGUGUAGCGGUGGAAUGCGCAGAUAUCAGGAGGAACACCGAUGGCGAAGGCAGAUCUCUGGGCCGUAACUGACGCUGAGGAGCGAAAGCGUGGGGAGCGAACAGGAUUAGAUACCCUGGUAGUCCACGCCGUAAACGUUGGGAACUAGAUGUAGGGACCAUUCCACGGUUUCUGUGUCGCAGCUAACGCAUUAAGUUCCCCGCCUGGGGAGUACGGUCGCAAGACUAAAACUCAAAGGAAUUGACG
rnacentral:rRNA from 1 species